rnacentral:rRNA from 1 species
GAUGAACGCUGGCGGCGUGCCUAAUACAUGCAAGUCGAACGAACAGAUGAGGAGCUUGCUCCUCUGACGUUAGCCGCGGACGUGUGAGUAACACGUGUAUAAUCUACCUAUAAUUCUGAGAUAAUCUCGAGAAUCCGGAUCUAAUACCGUAUGAGAUAUUGAACCGCAUGGUGCAAUAGUGAAAGACGGUUGUGCUGGCACUUAUAGAUGGAUCCGCGCCGCAUUAGCUAGUUGGUAAGGUAACGGCUUACCAAGGCAACGAGGCGUAGCCGACCUGAGAGGGUGAUCGGCCACACUGGAACGGAGACACGGUCCAGACUCCUACGGGAGGCAGCAGUAGGGAAUCUUCCGCAAUGGGCGGAAGCCUGACGGAGCAAGCGCGCGUGAGUGAUGAAGGUCUCGGGAUCGUAAAACCCUGUUAUGAGUGAAGAACAAAUGUGUAAGUAACUAUACAGGUCUUGACGGUAAUUAAUCAGAAAGCCACGGCUAACUACGUG